AACUUAUUCAUCAGCGACAGCAACAGCCUCAGGGCCACCGCAGGCCACCUCGGCUCCCACCACCUACAAUAACACUCCGGGUCCAGCCACACCCACCACCUCCACUGGGACAUCGUACCGCUCGGUUCCGUUUCCAUCAGUUCUUCAAAGGCCUACUACACACUCACGUUUUGUCAG